GACGAACGCUGGCGGCGUGCUUAACACAUGCAAGUCGAACGUGAUUUUUAUGGAAAGCCCUUCGGGGACGGAAGUAAAAUGAAAGUGGCGAACGGGUGAGUAACACGUGAGCAACCUACCUUACACAGAGGGAUAGCCGUUGGAAACGACGAUUAAUACCGCAUGAGACCACAAAGCCACAUGGCUUAGGGGUAAAAGAUUUAUCGGUGUAAGAUGGGCUCGCGUCCGAUUAGCUAGUUGGAAGGGUAAAGGCCUACCAAGGCGACGAUCAGUAGCCGGUCUGAGAGGAUGAACGGCCACAUUGGAACUGAGACACGGUCCAAACUCCUACGGGAGGCAGCAGUGGGGAAUAUUGCACAAUGGGGGGAACCCUGAUGCAGCGACGCCGCGUGAGCGAAGAAGGUUUUCGAAUCGUAAAGCUCUGUCCUAUGAGAAGAUAAUGACGGUAUCAUAGGAGGAAGCCCCGGCUAAAUACGUGCCAGCAGCCGCGGUAAUACGUAUGGGGCGAGCGUUGUCCGGAAUUAUUGGGCGUAAAGGGUACGUAGGCGGCCUUUUAAGUCAGGUGUGAAAGCGUGAGGCUUAACCUCAUUAAGCACUUGAAACUGGAAGGCUUGGGUGAAGGAGAGGAAAGUGGAAUUCCUAGUGUAGCGGUGAAAUGCGUAGAUAUUAGGAGGAAUACCGGUGGCGAAGGCGACUUUCUGGACUUUUACUGACGCUCAGGUACGAAAGCGUGGGGAGCAAACAGG
rnacentral:rRNA from 1 species